rnacentral:rRNA from 1 species
AGUGAACGCUGGCGGUAGGCCUAACACAUGCAAGUCGAACGGCAGCACAGGAGAGCUUGCUCUCUGGGUGGCGAGUGGCGGACGGGUGAGGAAUACAUCGGAAUCUGCCCAGUCGUGGGGGAUAACGUAGGGAAACUUACGCUAAUGCCGCAUACGACCUUCGGGUGAAAGAGGGGGAUCGCAAGACCUCUCGCGAUUGGAUGAGCCGAUGUCGGAUUAGCUAGUUGGCGGGGUAAUGGCCCACCAAGGCGACGAUCCGUAGCUGGUCUGAGAGGAUGAUCAGCCACACUGGAACUGAGACACGGUCCAGACUCCUACGGGAGGCAGCAGUGGGGAAUAUUGGACAAUGGGCGCAAGCCUGAUCCAGCCAUACCGCGUGGGUGAAGAAGGCCUUCGGGUUGUAAAGCCCUUUUGUUGGGAAAGAAAUCUUUCAGGCUAAUACCCCGGGAGGAUGACGGUACCCAAAGAAUAAGCACCGGCUAACUUCGUG